UGUUACUUAAAUUAAUAUGAAAUGUGGAAUGGUGCAUAUAGCUGAAGUCUGAAGAGCUGGUGAUUAGUUAGAUCUCACUGCACUUUUCGGCGCAGUCUUGCGCUGACUGUGAGAUAGUAAUUAGCGUCCUCAGGCAUCGUGUGAAAUGAUGAUAUGUAUAAUAAGUCCCUCAGGCGAAGGGACACGACAUGAUUUCCAAAACGAAGCAUCUGAUUUCAUCAUCAAGCACCGCAUCGAAGGCAUGUUACGUCAAGCGUUAUGUACAUCUGCACAAAGACGCAGUGAAACCGGUUGACGUUCCUCGCGGACCAAAUUAAAUACCCAAGAUCAAAUGCAAAAAAAGUGCUGUAGCCGCGUACCGAAGUCCGCACAACAAAAGCCAGAAACUGCGUAAUCAAAUCAGAAAGUAUGACGCAGUAGAAAAUCUAAUUUCUUUUUCCUGUGUCGUUAUCAAGAAGUCACAACCGGC